rnacentral:rRNA from 1 species
UACGUAGGUGGCUAGCGUUGUCCGGAUUUACUGGGCGUAAAGCGCGCGCAGGCGGUCGUUCAAGUCGAGUGUGAAAGCCCCCGGCUCAACUGGGGAGGGUCACUCGAUACUGAUCGACUUGAAGGCAGAAGAGGGAAGCGGAAUUCCCGGUGUAGUGGUGAAAUGCGUAGAUAUCGGAAGGAACACCAGUGGCGAAGGCGGCUUUCUGGUCUGUUCUUGACGCUGAGGCGCGAAAGCCAGGGGAGCAAACGGG